UUUCCGUAGGUGAACCUGCGGAAGGAUCAUUCACAAUAAGUGUUUUAUGGCACUUUUUAAACAAUCCAUAUCCACCUUGUGUGCAACGUUAUGAGACCCUCUAUCGUUAUCUUUUAGGUUACGGAAGGGGGAACCUCUACAACUUACCAACAUCACCUUUAACUUAUUUGUCUGAACAUUUGUUACCCGAAUUAACCUAAAUUCAAAAUUACAACUUCCAACAACGAAUCUCUUGCCUCUCGCAUCAAUAAAGAACGCAGCAGAUCGAAAAAGCACAGC
rnacentral:misc_RNA from 1 species